UACGUAGGGUGCGAGCGUUAAUCGGAAUACUGGGCGUAAAGCGUGCGCAGGCGGUGAUGUAAGACAGAUGUGAAAUCCCCGGGCUCAACCUGGGAACUGCAUUUGUGACUGCAUCGCUGGAGUGCGGCAGAGGGGGAUGGAAUUCCGCGUGUAGCAGUGAAAUGCGUAGAUAUGCGGAGGAACACCGAUGGCGAAGGCAAUCCCCUGGGCCUGCACUGACGCUCAUGCACGAAAGCGUGGGGAG
rnacentral:rRNA from 1 species